rnacentral:lncRNA from 1 species
CUGGAAAAGAAUAUCCUGAAAUCGGAAUGGGCAAGACAUCCUGAAAUUUUAGCAUUGUCUUACAUCCUAUAGAAGAAAUACCUUAGUCUGUCACAGUCAGCAUAUUGACUUUAAGUAUUCAAUAUCCCUUCAGUCAGCAAUAAUCAUGUUAUAAACCUUAUAAAAGCAUAAAAUACAUAUAAACAAGUUAACUAUUUAAUAUUCUUACAUUCCCCUCUUUGAGCAAUAAAACAAUUGCUCAUCUUAUCGAUAAAAUCUUACCAGGACAGAGAAACCUCCACAUGGUAUUUUCAGGGGUGCUAGUCACUCCCUGCGGGACUUUCAUUAAUUUCUUCACCUCGAUUCCCAUGUGGUAAUUCCUAAGGCCUAGUUUAAAAAUGGGUUGAUACUCUACAGUGGCAGAGAGGAGAAUUUCUAAUUGUUUCUGUUCUGCAUUAUGGAUUAAUUUCUGUACUCACUUCCUCAAUGUACAACUAAGGUGACAGUUAUAUAAAAUCAUACACAAUAAAAUCAGGACUAUAAUAACAAAAUGAUAGAAGAAUGAUUUCAUUAUCUGAGAUCCAGUAGGGGACCAACCAGUGAAGCAUCGUACCAAUGAUGGGCUAAAUCAUUCUGAAUUUGUGAACUCACCUUAAGGAGUUCUCCUUUUAGGAUAUGUGUGGCUACCUGUGUAUGUUAUCUUUGGGAAAAAUAUAGUCCCCUGUGUAUGUGGGUGCCCACCAGGUUAAAUUCUUGGCAAAAAGAUCAUAAACUGGUACUGGUAAUGUGUUAAAUUGACAAGCUAAUUUAACAUCCUUUGAUGAUGUAUGAUAUAAUGUAAAAUAGCAAGAGCAUGAAAAAUGUGAAACAUUACCAGUUAACCAUCCAUUGCAUUUACUGGAUUGGGGUUUUAGAAGUAACCAAUCAUUAUCUGUGAGGUUACACAUUCCUCUAAUCUUCUCUAGUUUAGGAAUCAUUAGUGUGUUUUCUAAUGCCAAUCCUUGUUGUUGUAUCCAUAAAUACCUGAUGGCACAAGUACUCCAGUUACUUAGACCUGUAGUGAAUUUCAUAGUUGCAACAGUUAAAUUAUCUAAAUAAUUAUACAUUGAUUUAUCUAAAUCCAAUCCUCUAACCUGUGAUUUAACAACAGUUGGAGCCCAGUUUGCAGUAGCAUGGAAACCAGUCCCUAUAUGCAUACUGGCUGUAUUUAACUUAUUCUUGAGGGUCUCCAUAUCUAUAACUAUUUAGUAUACCCAUAGUGGUUCCAGCACCAUCUAACAGUGUGUCAUACCAUUCCCUUUUCUGCCUUUUGUUUGUUGUGUUACAUAAUGUUACAACAAGAGUAGUGACUUUUAAUGACACAUGUACAGCUUGUAAGAAGGCAGUUGUAUUAACACAUGUGGAUGGAAUAGGUGUGUGUGUGUGUCGUGUUUGACUUUUGGUUCUAUGAUAGUGGAUGAAGGACAGUAAUAAGGUGUAAAAAUAUAAGAUAGUGUACAGUUCUCAAUUGCAGUGUCGUUCAUAAUGACUAACAUUUGUCCCCUUUUCCAAUUAAUGAUACCAGUUAUAUAAUCAUUAUUAAAAGUAAUAAGGCCUGUCUGUUUACAUUGAUAUGCAACCUUAACUGUGCACAUUUCUGCGUUAUAAGAUCUAACAAUUUUCUGUGAACCUUCAAACAAACAUAAUGCAAUGGUUUCAUUAGCUGUAGACACAUUUCAUAUGGGUAACUGGUACUUAUAAGGGUUACUAUUUGUCCAAUUCAUCCAAAUGCGUUCAGUAAAUGAAUGAUUGCAUAUUGCAUGCUGAUAGAAAGUUGGUGGAGAAAGGUUCUUGAGGGAGCGUGUGUGACGAAUGCUAGAUGAGGGGCUAAGGCCUAAUUGGGCUGGGGGUAUUGAAGAAUUGUUCAUCAUGUCAGAGUCUUUUUCCAGAAACAAACAGGUUUCAAACUUGCCAUUGACUUGUACUCAUAAUGGCAUUCAAUGAACAAUAUCAGAGGGAGUAUAACAACUCCAGAAAGCAUAGCACACAACAUAAUCUUGGUCUCAGGUACGUAUGAUCCUCUCAAUCUACGAUAUGGUGUAAAAGCCAUGAUGCUUCGCUGAGGAGAAAUUCUUCUGUUUCCGAGCGAGGAGUGGUGUUGUCUUCCUUGGUUCCCCUCUUUGGACACAGCUUCACUCGGGAUGCGUGAAUCCAGAUGUCAUGGGAAUCUGUGAGGACAGCGGUUCUGGGUACAGCAAUCACAGUAGCAGGUGGUCCAAAAGGGUAUCCUCCUUUCUUGGUCCUGUUCAGCUGACGGAUAUACACCUUGUCACCGGGCUGGUAUGAAUGAGUAGGUUCCUGUGAAGGUAAGGGAAAACUGCGAAGAAACAUUGUCAUACAUACCAUUCGGUUUUAUCAACAAUUCAUCUUGUGGGGAUAUAUUCUUAUCUCAGCUAAAAUAGCUGGUAGAUAUCUAGUCCAAUUUUCCCAUGUUCCUGGGUAAAUUCUGGGCUUUUCCUUAAUAGUCCUAUUCAUCCUUUCAACUACCCCUGUAUUCUGUGGAUGAUAGGGUAUAUGAAACUGCCAGGUAACUUGCAAGAAUUUAGCAAGUUCCUGGGCAACCCCACUUGCAAAAACCGGGCCAUUAUCAGAGCCAAUCUGCAGAGGGCAGCAAUACCGGGGAAUAAUUUCAGUAACAAUAAUCUUCACUAGCAUCUUCCCUAGAUGUCACAAAGGCCUCAUGCCAUCUACUAAACUGAUUAACUAUGACCAGUAAGUAUUGCUGUUUCUUACCAAUUUUGGAUACAUGAAUAAAA